rnacentral:rRNA from 1 species
CCUUGCCUACGGGGCGCAGCAGUGAGGAAUAUUGGUCAAUGGCCGCAGGGCUGAACCAGCCAAGUCGCGUGAGGGAUGACGGUCCUAUGGAUUGUAAACCUCUUUUGUCAGGGAGCAAAGGGCGCCACGUGUGGCGUUUUGCGAGUACCUGAAGAAAAAGCAUCGGCUAACUCCGUGCCAGCAGCCGCGGUAAUACGUAGGGGGCAAGCGUUAUCCGGAUUUACUGGGUGUAAAGGGAGCGUAGACGGCUUGGCAAGCCAGAUGUGAAAGGCUGGGGCUCAACCCCAGGACUGCAUUUGGCACUG